AGGGAAAAAGUGAAGCUGCCAGCAUGAUCUAUCUUUGGUUAGAGAAAGAAAGGACUAACCCUAGCUAGGUCAUGCUGUGACAGCCUCACUCCUUCC
rnacentral:pre_miRNA from 1 species